AGAUGUUGGGAACUAGAACGAAACACGGCCUGCUCUUGAAUUUACCAUUUUAGAAAAAAAAAAAAAAAUAGCAGCAGCACGACAGGACCGCAGAUCAUCAUCCCCACGUCAGGUCAGCCCGAAGGUGACAGUUUGGACGUGUCUGGGCUUAAGUAUUAUUUGAAUGUUCCCGCCUGAGAGUAUUUGCAGGCCCAAGAAUGGAUGCCUUAAUCAUCACUUAAGAAAUGUGCCUUUAGACAACGUGUUCCUAAUACGUGGCUGAUUGCUUUUACCUCCGUCUUCAUCCCUAUUUUAUCCUCCCUGACGGGGCAGGUGGAUCAUCUUUCAUGCAUCGGAAUCUCCCCGGAGAAGAUUCACAAAUCCUCUCCUCCUCUCUUACCAGGAGGGGAGGAACAAGUUUUAGUCCCCUCCGGCCGGCCCCCGGUGCACCGUACCAAGUUCUGCAAGGAACAAGCCCUGGGUGAACGUGGGUUUGCUUGGAUUUUAAUUAAAUCGUUCUCCUCGCUGCAGUUGACGAUGCGGCUCUGGAACAUUCUAUUGGAUGCUGCUUUUUCAGGCCCUGAAAACAACCCAACCCCUGAGAAUCUAGAAAGAUAGAGAGGAUCUCAGUGCUUUCGAUUUUUUGAGACCCAGUCUGGUGACAAGAAGGGGUUCUUUCCAAUCCCACAGCCCACUCUGACCCUCUCACCGUGCCACCCAGUAGAGGAAUUUAGAGUGUGUUUAAUGAAACUUCCUUCCUUCUUGAGUAAAAGCUGUGAUUACCAAACUCAGUAUCUGGGGAGAGGAGGAUGUAGGAAGGGGUAUUGUGGGAUGUGUGCUAUACCUUAGGGACAGAUCCUUAUGAGGAGUCUGUCUGUGGUGAGAGAACCAACCUUUAGGGUAUUUUUACCUCCUUUCAAAGAUUUCUAAGUCUGAGACUGAGAGUCUGUGGCCUUGCAUGCAAAUGUCUUUCCCUCUCAUCUGCUGAACUGUUUUUAUUUAUAUAUUCCUUUUCCCAGGCACCUCCAGCCUGUGUUAAUUAGCAUCAACAGCGGAGCAGAGGAGGCACACAAGCCACUUAUUUGUGAACAAAUUAUAAGAAUUGCAGCAGAAAUUGAUUUGUACAGAAGAUACGCCUACAGUCUGAGUGCGUGUUAAUAUAUUUAUCUUGUUUCAAUUAGUUGGUUUCUUUUUCUUCCUUCCCGUCCCCUUCAUAUUAUUUCACAAGGCUCUGAGCUCUGAUCAUAAUUUUCAUCUCCUCAGCUCCCAGCAGAACCCUCCUAAGAAAAGGUAUAUUGGAUGAUUAUUUCAUCUCAUGGGACUUGAAAGAGUCUGGGAAACCCGACUCCAUCCCCCUACAAACAAUUUUCCCACCUGUUCACUGCUCAUUAACAGCCCGUGAAUAAGAGAUAAAAAUUUUCCAUUUUACAGUUAAUAAGAUCUCAAUGCUUUAGGAGACUUCGUGGGAAAAUGACUUCAAUUUUUUCUUCUGUCUCUCUCUCCAUCCUUCUCUCCCACCCUGUCUUCACCUAUUUUUUUCCCCCUGUUCUCUCUUCUGUAAGAAUUUAAAGAAUGCUAAUCUGGGCGGUGCACUGUGGUAGAGACUGAGGAUGAUACAUUUAAUCUGAAUCAGUCUUUGUGCUCCGAGAACACAAAGAAGUGUUGGAAAGACGGAUGUCAACAAAUAGCCACAAUUCAAACUGAUCAUUUAAAUCCCAGAAGACUAUGCAAACUGCAAUGGAAAAGAUAGAGAACCAUCCCUGAUCCCUAAGGAGCAAUGGGGAAGAAAGAGCCAGAAGAUGAUGGGUCUACGGAACACAGAUCGUCCCAACUUUACAG